UGCAUUCACUACUGUAAGUCGCUCUGGAUAAGAGUGUCUGCUAAAAAUGUUUUAAA
rfam:Salmo salar isolate Sally breed double haploid chromosome ssa02, whole genome shotgun sequence.